AGAAAGCGUUAAAGCUCAACAAUCAAAAUUAACUUAAUUAAAAUAUUUACCAACGAACUCCUAUAAACCUUAACUGGACUAAUCUAUAAAAUUAUAGAAGAAACAAUGCUAAUAUAAGUAACAAGAACAAUGUUCUCCUUGCACAAGUUUAUAUCAGAUCGGA
rnacentral:rRNA from 1 species